ensembl:snRNA U6 U6 spliceosomal RNA
AUAAUAAAUUUCAAAGUACAUAUACUAAAAUUAGAAGGAUACAGAGAUGAUUAUCAUGGUCUCACCAUCAAGCUGACAUGAAUAUUUGCAAAAUGUAUUUUGUAGCU